rnacentral:rRNA from 1 species
UACGUAGGGGGCAAGCGUUGUCCGGAUUUAUUGGGCGUAAAGAGCGUGUAGGCGGCUUUACAGGUCCGUUGUGAAAACUCGAGGCUCAACCUCGAGACGCCGGUGGAAACCGUAAAGCUAGAGUCCGGAAGAGGAGAGUGGAAUUCCUGGUGUAGCGGUGAAAUGCGCAGAUAACAGGAGGAACACCCGUGGCGAAAGCGGCUCUCUGGGACGGUACUGACGCUGAGACGCGAAAGCGUGGGGAGCAAACAGG